GACAGAGGAUGCAAGCGUUAUCCGGAAUGAUUGGGCGUAAAGCGUCUGUAGGUGGCUUUUCAAGUCCGCCGUCAAAUCCCAGGGCUCAACCCUGGACAGGCGGUGGAAACUACCAAGCUGGAGUACGGUAGGGGCAGAGGGAAUCUCCGGUGGAGCGGUGAAAUGCAUUGAGAUCGGAAGGAACGCCCGUGGCGAAAGCGAGGUCCUGGACGCCUACUGACGCUGAGACGCGAAAGCCAGGGGAGCGAACGGG
rnacentral:rRNA from 1 species